rnacentral:rRNA from 1 species
CCUACGGGUGGCAGCAGUGAGGAAUAUUGGUCAAUGGGCGGGAGCCUGAACCAGCCAAGCCGCGUGAGGGAAGAAGGUACAGCGUAUCGUAAACCUCUUUUGUCAGGGAACAAAGGCGGGGACUAGUCCCCGGAUGAGGGUACCUGAAGAAAAAGCAUCGGCUAACUCCGUGCCAGCAGCCGCGGUAAUACGGAGGAUGCGAGCGUUAUCCGGAUUUAUUGGGUUUAAAGGGUGCGCAGGUGGCCUGUUAAGUCAGCGGGAAAAGCCCGGGGCUCAACCCCGGCGAGCCGUUGAAACUGGCGGGCGGGAGUUGGAGAGAAGUACGCGGAAUGCGCGGUGUAGCGGUGAAAUGCUUAGAUAUCGCGCAGAACCCCGAUUGCGAAGGCAGCGUACCGGCUCCACACUGACGCUGAGGCACGAAAGCGUGGGUAUCGAACAGGAUUAGAUACCCCAGUAGUC